GACGAACGCUGGCGGCAGGCCUAAUACAUGCAAGUCGAACGAAGCCUUCGGGCUUAGUGGCGCACGGGUGCGUAACGCGUGGGAACGUACCCCUGGGUGCGGAACAACGUCGGGAAACUGACGCUAAUACCGCAUAAUGACUCCGGUCCAAAGAUUUAUCGCCCAGGGAUCGGCCCGCGUUAGAUUAGCUAGUUGGUGGGGUAAUGGCCUACCAAGGCUACGAUCUAUAGCUGGUCUGAGAGGAUGAUCAGCCACACUGGGACUGAGACACGGCCCAGACUCCUACGGGAGGCAGCAGUAAGGAAUAUUGGACAAUGGAGGAAACUCUGAUCCAGCCAUGCCGCGUGAGUGAUGAAGGCCUUCGGGUUGUAGAGCUCUUUCAGGUGCGACGAUGAUGACGGUAACACCAGAAGAAGCCCCGGCUAACUUCGUGCCAGCAGCCGCGGUAAUACGAAGGGGGCGAGCGUUGUUCGGAAUCACUGGGCUAAAGCGUGCGGUA
rnacentral:rRNA from 1 species